rnacentral:lncRNA from 1 species
GGAAUAAACAAGAGACUCCAGUUGACCUUAAGCCUGCACUUCUGCUCUGAAGAGGUAAUGUUUGGAGAUCAAAGGGGAGAAAGGUUUUACCCAAAUUUUAACUAAGAUACCAAGGCGAUAAUUUUGACCACUUCAGAAGUUCAAAUGGACUCAACGGGAGGAAUAUUGAAGGAACAAUCAGAGUUAGUGAAAAAUAACCACUGAGGUAAGUGACAUGGGGGCUUGAUUUGAGAGGGAGUUCAGUGCCUCACU